CGGUAACAUACGAGGGUAUCCAAACAACACAUACUAUCCAAAUAAAAAAAUAUGGAGUUCCGGUUUAGACCAUGGGCGUGCGACGACCCCGAUGAAAUUCGGGAUAUCACGGUCUUCGUUAAUGUUAAUAAGCGUCCGUCAGAUCAGUGGGCGAAACGCAAUAUCCGCACAAUAAGAUGUCUGCGACUCGAAAGAAUAUUCAAAAAUAUGGACGGCACUCCAUUACAGCAUGUGCAUGGUUGGACCUGUUGACAUUUUUAGAAACGCAUCUUGGUCUAUUAUACAGAGUAUUGUUGUACUGCUCCAAAGUGCUUGUUGACAGACUGAAACCACUUGCUUGUGGCUCAUAAGGUUCACUUCUUGAGAGCAGGCAGCUACAAAAUGGAAGGUCAACAAAUCCAGUAUACUUGAAAAGCAAGAAAGAAACACAGA